AACGCGAAGAACCUUACCUGGGUUUGACAUGCUUGGAUGCUAUCCUGGAAACAGGAGAUGCUGCCUUCGGGUGAAACUUGCACAGGUGUUGCAUGGCUGUAGUCAGCUUGUGUCGUGAGAUGUCGGGUUAAGUCCUCUAACGAGCGAAACCCUUGCCGUUAGUUGCCAGCGGGUUAUGCCGGGGACUCUAACGGGACUGCCGGUGUUAAACCGGAGGAAGGUGGGGAGGACGUCAAGUCAUCAUGGCCUUUAUGCUCAGGGCCUCACACGUGCUACAAUGGCGGCAACAAAGCGUCGCAAAACCGUGAGGUCGAGCUAAUCGCAAAAAUGUCGCCCCAGUUCGGAUUGUAGGCUGACAACUCGCUUGCAUGAAGUUGGAAUCGCUAGUAAUCGGGUAUCAGCUAUGACGCGGUGAAUAUGUUCCUGAGCCUUGUACACACCGCCCGUCAAGUGAUGGGAGUUGGGAGUACCCGAAGUCGGGUUGCUAACCCUUCGGGGAGGCGCCUGCCGACGGUAAGCCCGAUGACUGGCACUAAGUAGUAACAAGGUAACUUAAUUAAAAAAU
rnacentral:rRNA from 1 species